AACUCCGGUGGUCUAAUGGUUAGAGCAUCCACCUUAGACGCGGGAGUUCAUGGGUUCGAUCCCCGGUCGAGUCA